UACAGAGGGGGCAAGCGUUGUUCGGAAUUACUGGGCGUAAAGGGCGCGUAGGCGGCCUGUUAAGUCGAACGUGAAAUCCCCGGGCUCAACCCGGGAACUGCGUCCGAUACUGGCAGGCUUGAAUUCGGGAGAGGGAUGCGGAAUUCCAGGUGUAGCGGUGAAAUGCGUAGAUAUCAGGAGGAACACCCGUGGCGAAAGCGGCUCUCUGGGACGGUACUGACGCUGAGACGCGAAAGCGUGGGGAGCAAACAGG
rnacentral:rRNA from 1 species